rnacentral:rRNA from 1 species
AUUGAACGCUGGCGGCAGGCCUAACACAUGCAAGUCGAACGAGUGGCGGACGGGUGAGUAAUGUCUGGGAAACUGCCCGAUGGAGGGGGAUAUCUACUGGAAACUGUAGCUAAUACCGCCUACCAUCGGAUGUGCCCAGAUGGGAUUAGCUAGUAGGUGGGGUAACGGCUCACCUAGGCGACGAUCCCUAGCUGGUCUGCGAGGAUGACCAGCAACACUGGAACUGGGACACGGUCCAGACGCCUACGGGAGGCAGCAGUGGGGAAUAUUGCACAAUGGGUGCAAGCCUGAUGAAGCCAUGCCGCGUGUAUGAAGAAGGCCUUCGAGUUGUAAAGUACUUUGAGCGAGGAGGCGUUACUCGCAGAAGAAGCACCGGCGAACUCCGUGCCAGCAGCCGAGGUAAUUC